rnacentral:tRNA from 1 species
GUCACUGUAGUGUAGUGGUUAUCACGUAUCCUUUACACGGAUAAGGUCUCCGGUUCGAUCCCGGACAGUGACA